GGUUGUGGCUCAGUGGCAGCACGCUUGCCUAGCAUGCAUGAGGCACUGGGUUCGAUUCUCAGCACCA
rnacentral:tRNA from 1 species